GUGUUCACUUCUGCAGCAUAUAUACUAAAAUUGGAAUGAUAAAGAGAAGAUUAGCAUGGCCCCUGCCCAAGGAUGACAUGCAAAUUCAUGAAGUGUUUCAUAUUUUA
ensembl:snRNA U6 U6 spliceosomal RNA